rnacentral:lncRNA from 1 species
UCAUUUGAGUCCACCUGUGUAGGUUUGGACCCGAGGAACCGAGGACCCCAGCAGUGAGUUCAGCUGCUUCGGUGUUGUCAGAGUCAGCCAGAGGUGAGUGGAACUAAACUUAAUCUUUUAAAUUAAAUGUUUUAUCAUGUUUCAUGCAUCAUGAUUAUGCGAUAGGAUGAUUGCAUUAGUGUUCACGAAUAUGCUGCAUUGCAUCGAUUGUUGUUGAUGUGGGUGAAUGUUGGAUGACCCAAUUAGUCCAAGACAGGAAGACCAGGACCCCAUGCUACGGCCUGGCACUAUGUAAGGAAAGACCAGGACCCCAUUCUACGGCCUGGCACGGUUAUGAUACUCGAAGACCAGGAGCCCAGAGGAGGCCCUGGGGAAAUGGUAAGUAAUGUAUGUUAUGACAGGAAGACCAGGACCCCAUGCUACGGCCUGGCACUAUGUUAACUUGGACUAAUUGGUGACAAGUUCACCCAACCCUUAUGUGAAUUGUCUGUGUUAUGAUGCAUUUCAUUGGAGCAUAGUAUUAAAAUGUUUUAUAGUUCUUCUCACUGGGCUGUUAGCUCACCCCUCUCCCUUUACCCCCAGGCUUGCAGGUACAGUAUAGAGCGGGAGUCCGGAUAGAGUAAAGAAGUCAUGUUUAUGUAAUAGCUAGCAAUGGACAUGAUCAAAUUGUAAUGUAAUGUCUUAAGUACAGUAUAGUUAUGUAAUGAUGUUUAUGGAUGAUUAGAGGUGUGCUUGACCAUAGAUGUUGUAAUCCCUUUUAAUGCAUGAUCUUGGUUAUUUUAUGCCAUUUAUGUAAACCAACUCAGCAUAUGUUGUGUCACCCAAUGGGGACACUGAUGAGAUCUCACAGAGGGAUCAAUGUUAUGUUAAAGUUUAUGCACAUGUUGAGUUUGGUUGAUGUCCAUGAAAAGAAAAGUUUUAAUUUUUAGGUAUAUUGUUGAUCAUGUACGGGAUUAAGCAGGGUUACAGGAUGCAUGUUAGGCUUGCUACAG